UGUCAAUAAGCAACUAUUAUAAUCCUGCAGCAGUAGUGGAGCGGUUACGUUGAUCAGCGAAUGGAUAAUUAUAUUCAACAGUGGUACUCUGAAUCGACACUGACUCUCGUUCAUCAGUGUUUGCUUAAUCGUAAGGUGGAAACAUUUUCAAAAUGGUUAUAAAGGUCGAUUAUUCUAUGCAAAACAGUAUGUUGACAGAGCUGGUCAGAGAUAUGAGAAUAUUUUUAUCAGAAUACGAUACAAUCGUCUUUCAUAAAGAAUUCUACCGAAAGAUGUUUCUCUACUCACUCGGAGUUCUUCGAGAAAAGUUAGUUACAUUGUUGCGAAAAUUUAGUGAUCUACCUCAGGAAGACUUCGAUGUGAAAGAAAUAGAGUGUUGCGGGGUGUCGUUUCGUAAGAGUUCAGUUUUUCAACAGCACUAUAAUUUGGUUCACAACAGGAAAACACUGCAGUCUGUAUCGUUGUGUGAGCUGAAAAUGGCCAUGACAAAGAUUACCUUUUUUCAGCGAAGCUUGUCUAAUUUUUUGGCGGCUGGUGAAAUUGCUAAUUGUGAGAUGAUAAUUUGCCUGAGAAAAAUUCUUAAAAAGAUUGAUACUACGUUAGAGUUUUCUGACCAACUUUAGUUUCAUAAACUGCCAGAUUAGGAAAUAUUACGAAGUAGAACAUUGAAACUACCUAUUUAUUGUUUCUAAUACAACAAGUGAUAACUGAAACGAGUAGAGUAGUCCUUGUCCAUGAGCUAUCCAAAUCCACAGUGAAGAUGAGUAAAUUUACAUUCAUGUUUCCUAUGCUGCCUGCAAAAUGAUUUUACAUCUUUAGUCAAACUUCUCGGUCCACAGCUAUAGAUUGUAACCGGCUUUCUGCAAAUACACGAAAAAAAUGUUAUUGUUUUAUUUAACGGCA